rnacentral:rRNA from 1 species
GAUGAACGCUGGCGGCGUGCCUAAUACAUGCAAGUCGAGCGAACAGAUGAGGAGUUUGCUCCUCUGACGUUAGCGGCGGACGGGUGAGUAACAUGUGGAUAACCUACCUAUAAGACUGGGAUAACUUUGGGAAACCGGAGCUUAUCCCGGAUAAUAUAUUGAACCGCAUGGUUCAAUAGUGAAAGUCGGUUUUGCUGUCACUAAUAGAUGGAUCCGCGCCGCAUUAGCUAGUUGGUAAGGUAACGGCUUACCAAGGCAACGAUGCGUAGCCGACGUGAGGGGGGGAUAGGCCACACUGGAAGUGAGACACGAUCCAGACACCUGCGGGAGGCAGCAGUAGGGAAUCUUCCGCAAUGGGCGAGAGCCUAACGCAGCAGCGCCGAGUGAGUGGUGAAAGUGUACGGAUCGGAAUGCUCUGUUAUUAGUGGAGAACAAAUGUGUAAUUAACUGUGCACGUCUUGACGGUACCUAGUCAGAAAGCCACGGCUAACUACGUG